rnacentral:rRNA from 1 species
UAAAGAUUCAUCGCUGAUAGAUAGGCAUGCGUUCCAUUAGGCAGUUGGCGGGGUAACGGCCCACCAAACCGACGAUGGAUAGGGGUUCUGAGAGGAAGGUCCCCCACAUUGGUACUGAGACACGGACCAAACUCCUACGGGAGGCAGCAGUGAGGAAUAUUGGUCAAUGGGCGUAAGCCUGAACCAGCCAAGUCGCGUGAGGGAUGAAGGUUCUAUGGAUCGUAAACCUCUUUUAUAAGGGAAUAAAGUGCGGGACGUGCCCCGUUUUGUAUGUACCUUAUGAAUAAGGAUCGGCUAACUCCGUGCCAGCAGCCGCGGUAAUACGGAGGAUCCGAGCGUUAUCCGGAUUUAUUGGGUUUAAAGGGUGCGUAGGCGGCCUUUUAAGUCAGCGGUGAAAGUCUGUGGCUCAACCAUAGAAUUGCCGUUGAAACUGGGAGGCUUGAGUAUGUUUGAGGCAGGCGGAAUGCGUGGUGUAGCGGUGAAAUGCUUAGAUAUCACGCAGAACCCCGAUUGCGAAGGCAGCCUGCCAAGCCAUGACUGACGCUGAUGCACGAAAGCGUGGGGAUCAAACAGGAUUAGAUACCCUGGUAGUCCACGCAGUAAACGAUGAUCACUAGCUGUUUGCGAUACACAGUAA